rnacentral:lncRNA from 1 species
GUUUUACUGGCUGUCAGACCAGGAAUAUGGGAUGCGUCGGGGUUCCAGCAGGAGCCCAUGAGUGUGCGGUUUGCCGGCUGCAGAGGCCUGUGUGAACGGGUUCCCAGUGCGAGAUGAGGGCCAGCAGCAGGAGGGGGCGGUGGGGGAAAGCCCGCUUUCGCCCCUGUGGGCUGGGCCGCCUCGCCACGCACCCUGCCUCCACGGCCCCGAGUUCCCCACCCACAGAACAGGGUGCCAGCACACUAGGCUGCAUCAGAAGAAACCAGGCCCAGAUGGAAGCCCACAGGGAGACCUCACCCAGGGCUGUCGGCUCUUCAGAAAUGUCCCUUCCUGUGGCUGCAAGACUGUGGGUGAAUCCUGGGGUCCGGGCUUGGCUGCUGUGAGCCGCUGCCUCCCGGCUGAUAAACAUCGGCCCAGGGAGCUGAGACACCGAGGCCCUGGAGAAGACCAGUGCAGGUGAGAGGUGCUCUGCUAAAACCACAGCUUGGGGGUGGCGUCUCCACUCACACCCCGUACGGGAAAGCAGCUAUUUCUACAAUAACGGCUUCCACAUCGAUGGAAGGACCACCAGCAGGGCUGCAGCAGGUGCAGGGCUGGUUGGUGAAGAGGCUCACCCUCUCCUCCGUCCUCAGCCCCAACGCUCCCCAAACCUGUGCAUUAGAGCUGUGCUGGAGUUCUUCACGUCUCUACCAGGCCAGGUGGUCACUGCUAAACUCGCCUUGGAGAGAGGAAGCCUGGAUUAUCUGUCAGGUCCAGGGGGACGAUGCUCCAUUGGGCCCCCAGCUUCAUGGGGCUGCUACCUUGGUCUGGAGACCCUCCGUGUGUGAGGAGUUUGCACCCUUCAGAGUUUCAGCUGGAAAGUGGAUCUAUCGUCUUGGUGCUUCAGAGGAAACUUCUACAAUAUUCAGAUGGACGGGGCUCUCAGCCCCUCGACCACAAGGCUGUUCCAGCCUGAGCAGGGGUACCCUGCCCUGGAAUGAAUGAGCUCCGCAAAUACUCAUCUCUGGGCAGCUGCCAAGUCUGGCCCCACUCCAGAGGACCGAGUGCUUGCAUCUGUCCCACUUCCCUUGGCAUGAAGGCCCCUGGCUGUCAGGGUGGGGCAGAGCUCCAGAGCCAGCCUUGGUGCUGGGACCCGGCCGAGCGAGGAGCUGCGGUGCCCAGGCCACAUGGCGUUCCCUGGUGAGGAGACGAUGUGAUGGCCACCAACACCCUUGGAACCCGUGUCGGCCCCAGUGCGAGUCAAGUGGACCCCUGCUGUCCUCCCGAGAAGUGUGACCAUUUAGUCUGAGGGGAGGGACAGUGGCAUCCUGAACCCCCACAGUGGCUGAGAAGGCUUCCAGCUGCCCAGCUGCCCUCUCUGCCCAGGAGGAGACGCUAUGCCAAGGCCCAGCUGUGGGAGAGUCUGCGUUUCCCGUGCCAUCCACUUGGAAAGGGCCUUCGUGCAGUCAGGGACUGGUGUGAUGGGGAGAAGGAGCCCAGUUUUCUUCUUGGGCGUUCCAGCCAAAUCAGGCUUGUUGAAGCCCUUCCCUGACUGCCAAGAGGGAGACCACUGCCUCCAGCCGGGAGUGCAGGAUGCCCAUUCUCACGUGGAUUCUCGUCCAUUGGAAUCUGGAGACAGGCCUGGACUUGGAGCCUUCUGCUCGUUGUCUGACCACAGGCAAGCCACUCCACCUCUCUGAGCUUUGGUCUUCUCGUUUGCACAAUAGGCAACUGGAAGUGAAAGUAUGCUGUACUUGCUUUGAGGUUUCAGUGACCCGACGCAGCUCUUUCAGAGGUGGAGGUGUUUUCUAAUUCCUUCCACCACGUGUCUACUGAAGCUUCCACACGCCCCCCACUCCCG